rfam:Cryptococcus amylolentus CBS 6039 supercont1.8, whole genome shotgun sequence.
GGUGACAUCGUCUAGUGGUUAGGACGUUUGGUUUUGAGUAACUCCCCUUGGAACUGAAAAAUCCAAUCGACCAGGGUUCGAAUCCCUGUGACACCU